GCUACAAUGGGAAGGGACAAUAGGGUUGCGAAGCCGCGAGGCGGAGCCAAUCCAAGCAAAACUUCCUCAGUUCAGAUUGCAGGCUGCAACUCGCCUGCAUGAAGUUGGAGUUGCUAGUAAACGCAGGUCAGCCAUACUGCGUUGAAUACGUUCCCGGGGCUU
rnacentral:rRNA from 1 species